rnacentral:lncRNA from 1 species
UGCUCUAGCAUGCACACAGAGAGAUAAAAAUGUUUCUGCAAAAGAGGGUAUGAUAAAAAAAAAUACCUACAGGUAGUUUAUCUCCAACAAUUCCAUCAAACUUUGUUAUCGUCACAACCUAAACAUCUACCGCUUUGUUUUUUGGACAGGGUGAACAUGAAGAACAGGUACUCUGAUGAGCAAAGCUUCCUGUGAACCAAAGCUAAAUAGUAAACCAAACUCUCUCCAUUGCUAUGGCAGCUUCAUAAUGGAGCUCACCUUCCAGCAGUCCUAAAUAUGCAGAGUUCCUGGUGAAGGGCCUUGGGUGUUGAUUCUAGGUAAGUUAGCCUUCUUGUAUUACUACUGUAGCUGAGAGGGCUCCUGAAAUGAAACCGGCAACCUAAGGGAGACAUGUUUGCUAGGCAGAUGAGAGAGGACGACAAAGACUGGCUCUAUCUUUGAAACUAGUGUGUGAAUGUCCAAAGGUGCCUCAACCCUUGUUUGUUGCAUUCAUAGAUUGACUCUUAUUGGGAGCUUAGCGAAAUGGCGGCAACAUCUCCCUCAUAGCAGAUACACUGUCUUAUAUGGCAUGGGUGAAGAUGAGGCUAAUAAUGAGGAGUGAGGGAAGGGGGCCAGGGCCAUGAGGGUUAUCUCACAGUCCCAGAUGCUGGAUAAGUUGGAGGAGGCGGAAUCACUUUUGGAUGACAUUCAGAAAGGCCUGAAUGCUUAUUGGGAGAAGAAAAGACUAUUCUUUCCAAGGUAAACAGUUCAUUUCAUGUACCAGCUGUACAGAUCAGUAUAAAACAUGUUUAUAUGAAGAGAUCCACAAAGUUCAUUUUUCCCCCUUAUGAAAUCAUUUU